rnacentral:rRNA from 1 species
UACGGGGGGAGCAAGCGUUGUUCGGAUUUACUGGGCGUAAAGGGCGCGUAGGCGGUCAGCACAGGUUAGUUGUGAAAUCUCCGGGCUUAACUCGGAAAGGUCAACUGAUACUGUGCGACUAGAGUGCAGAAGGGGCAACUGGAAUUCUCGGUGUAGCGGUGAAAUGCGUAGAUAUCGAGAGGAACACCUGCGGCGAAGGCGGGUUGCUGGGCUGACACUGACGCUGAUGCGCGAAAGCCAGGGGAGCGAACGGG